rnacentral:rRNA from 1 species
GUGGACUCUCAAGUGUGAGGUAAGGGCGUUUGGUGAAUGCCUUGGCAUACAGAGGCGAUGAAGGACGUGGCACGCUGCGAUAAGCGUUGGGGAGCUGUGAGCGAGCUUUGAUCCAACGAUUUCCGAAUGGGGAAACCCACCCUCACCAUUUAAUUUCGCCGCCGAGUAAUCGGCGUCGAAGGUUAAAUGGGAAGGGUAUCACCGAAGUGAAUACAUAGCUUUGGUGAAGCGAACCCAGGGAACUGAAACAUCUCAGUACCUGGAGGAAAGGACAUCAACAGAGACUCCGUUAGUAGUGGCGAGCGAACGCGGACCAGGCCAAUGCCUUUGAUUCAGCUAACAGAAGCUUCUGGAAAGGAGCGCCAUAGUGGGUGACAGCCCCGUAUGUGAAAGCGAUGUCAAAGGAUAUGAGUAGGGCGGGACACGUGAAAUCCUGUCUGAACGUAGGGGGACCACCCUCUAAGCCUAAGUACUCCUGUAUGACCGAUAGUGAACUAGUACCGUGAGGGAAAGGUGAAAAGCACCCCGAUGAGGGGAGUGAAACAGUACCUGAAACCGAACGCCUACAAGCAGUUGGAGGGUCCUUGAGACCUGACAGCGUACCUCUUGCAUAAUGGGUCAGUGACUUAGUGUAACAAGCAAGCUUAAGCCGUUAGGUGUAGGCGCAGCGAAAGCGAGUCUGAAUAGGGCGACUGAGUUUGUUGCAUUAGACCCGAAACCCGGUGAUCUAUGCAUGACCAGGUUGAAGGUGCAGUAACAUGCACUGGAGGACCGAACCGUUCAAUGUUGAAAAAUUGUCGGAUGAGUUGUGCUUAGGGGUGAAAGGCCAAUCAAACCGGGAAAUAGCUGGUUCUCCGCGAAAUCUAUUGAGGUAGAGCGUCAGACGAAUACCUUGGGGGGUAGAGCACUGGAUGGAUGCGGGGGUCGCGAGAUCUACCAAUUCUAACCAAACUCCGAAUACCCAAGAGUAAUAUCUGGCAGACAGACGGCGGGUGCUAAGGUCCGUCGUCAAAAGGGAAACAGCCCUGACCUACAGCUAAGGUCCCCAAGUCACGUCUAAGUGGUAAAGCAUGUGGGAAUCCCAAAACAACCAGGAGGUUGGCUUAGAAGCAGCCAUCCUUUAAAGAAAGCGUAACAGCUCACUGGUCUAAAUAAGGGUUCCUGCGGCGAAAAUGUAACGGGGCUCAAGACGUGCACCGAAGCUUAGGGUGUGAUCGUUUACGAUCACGCGGUAGCGGAGCGUUCCGUAGGCUGAUGAAGCGAUCUGGUAAUGGGUCGUGGAGGUAUCGGAAGUGCGAAUGCUGACAUGAGUAGCGAUAAAGAGGGUGAGAUGCCCUCUCGCCGAAAUUCCAAGGGUUCCUGCUUAAAGCUAAUCUGAGCAGGGUAAGCCGGCCCCUAAGACGAGCCCGAAGGGGGUAGUCGAUGGGAACCACGUUAAUAUUCGUGGGCCUGGAGGUGUGUGACGGAUCUCGUAAAUUGUUUGCUCUUAUUGGAUUGAGCAGGCUUUGAAGAGGUUCCAGGAAAUAGCCCCUCCAUUAUAGACCGUACCCUAAACCGACACAGGUGGAAUGGUAGAGUAUACCAAGGCGCUUGAGAGAAGUCUCCUGAAGGAACUCGGCAAAUUGCCUCCGUACCUUCGGAAGAAGGAGGCCCCACUUCUGGGCAACCAGUUGUGGGGGGCACAGGCCAGGGGGUAGCGACUGUUUAGCAAAAACACAGGGCUCUGCUAAGUCGGCUUCAAGACGACGUAUAGGGCCUGACGCCUGCCCGGUGCCUGAAGGUUAAGUGGAGUGGUGCAAGCUGCGAAAUGAAGCCCAGGUAAACGGCGGCCGUAACUAUAACGGUCCUAAGGUAGCGAAAUUCCUUGUCGGGUAAGUUCCGACCUGCACGAAUGGCGUAACGACUUCCCCACUGUCUCCAGGAGAUGCUCAGCGAAAUUGAAUUCUCCGUGAAGAUGCGGAGUACCCGCGGUUAGACGGAAAGACCCCGUGCACCUUUACUGCAGCUUCAGAGUGGCAUUAGGAAAGAACUGUGUAGCAUAGGUGGGAGGCUUUGAAGCGUCGGCGCCAGCUGACGUGGAGCCAUAGGUGAAAUACCACCCUGUUGUUUUCUGAUGUCUAACCUCGAUCCAUGAAACUGGAUCAGGGACCCUCUGUGGCGGGUAGUUUGACUGGGGCGGUCGCCUCCUAAAGAGUAACGGAGGCGCGCGAUGGUAGGCUCAGGACGGUUGGAAACCGUCUGCAAGAGUGCAAUGGCAUAAGCCUGCCUGACUGCGAGACUGACGAGUCGAGCAGAGACGAAAGUCGGUCAUAGUGAUCCGGUGGUCCCGAGUGGAAGGGCCAUCGCUCAACGGAUAAAAGGUACGCCGGGGAUAACAGGCUGAUGAUUCCCAAGAGCUCAUAUCGACGGAAUCGUUUGGCACCUCGAUGUCGGCUCAUCACAUCCUGGGGCUGGAGCAGGUCCCAAGGGUUUGGCUGUUCGCCAAUUAAAGUGGUACGUGAGCUGGGUUCAGAACGUCGUGAGACAGUUUGGUCCCUAUCUGCCGUGGGCGUCGAAAUUUGAGAGGAGUUGACCCUAGUACGAGAGGACCGGGUUGAACAUACCUCUGGUGUACCUGUCGUGGCGCCAGCCGCGCAGCAGGGUAGCUAUGUAUGGACGGGAUAACCGCUGAAAGCAUCUAAGCGGGAAGCCUCCCUCAAGAUAAGAUUUCUUAGAGCCGUGGAAGACCACCACGUUGAUAGAUCGGAUGUAGAAGCGCAGCAAUGUGUGGAGCUAACCGAUACUAAUUGCUCUAUUCGCACUU